rnacentral:rRNA from 1 species
GGGUGGUAAUGCCGGAUGCUCCGGUUGGAUGCAUGUCCUUCCGGGAAAGAUUCCAUCGGUAUGGGAUGGGGUCGCGUCCUAUCAGCUUCCACAUUGGGACUGAGAUACGGCCCAGACUCCUACGGGAGGCAGCAGUGGGGAAUAUUGCACAAUGGGCGCAAGCCUGAUGCAGCGACGCCGCGUGCGGGAUGGAGGCCUUCGGGUUGUAAACCGCUUUUGAUCGGGAGCAAGCCCUUCGGGGUGAGUGUACCUUUCGAAUAAGCACCGGCUAACUACGUGCCAGCAGCCGCGGUAAUACGUAGGGUGCAAGCGUUAUCCGGAAUUAUUG